UUCGUAGGUGGCCAACUAAGUCAUACGUGAAAUCCCUCAGCUUAACUGGGGAACUGCGUCUGAUACUGGUUGGCUUGAGUGCAGGAGAGGAACGCGGAAUUCCAGGUGUAGCGGUGAAAUGCGUAGAUAUCUGGAGGAACACCGGUGGCGAAGGCGGCGUUCUGGACUGCAACUGACACUGAGGAACGAAAGCCAGGGAGCAAACG
rnacentral:rRNA from 1 species